GUGUGCCCAGGCCAUCAUUACUUCUCUAAGGAAGGGAAACCACUCAACUACCUAUAAAAAAUAUAUCAUUUUUCUUUUCAAUACCAAGAGUUUUUGAGCCGAAACUCGUAAUCCCCGAAACCGUAGCAUAUAAUAUUAUUUUCAUCUCAAACGUCACUCGAACCGACGAUCUCUAAGCUUCGCGUAAGAUCUUUACCAAUUGAAAAAAUAAAAUUAAAA
rnacentral:sRNA from 1 species